rnacentral:misc_RNA from 1 species
CAGAGUUGUAUAACUCCUAACCAUUGUGAAUAAACCCAUUAUAGUUGCUUCGGCGGGUGGUGUUCUAUAGCUACCCGCCGGCGGCAUACAAACUCUUGAUUAUAGUGAACUUCUGAGUAACUUAUUUAAUAAGUCA